rnacentral:rRNA from 1 species
UGGAGGCAGCAGUGAGGAAUAUUGGGCAAUGGGGGAAACCCUGACCCAGCGACGCCGCGUGGGUGAUGAAGGCCUUCGGGUCGUAAAGCCCUGUCGGGCGGAACGAAUGCUCCUAGGGUAAAUAGCCCUGGGAGGUGACGGUACCGCCGAAGGAAGCACCGGCCAACUCCGUGCCAGCAGCCGCGGUAAGACGGAGGGUGCAAGCGUUGCUCGGAAUCACUGGGCGUAAAGGGUGCGUAGGCGGUCUCGCAAGUCUGGCGUGAAAGCCCAAGGCUCAGCCUUGGAAGUGCGCUCGAAACGGCGAGGCUGGAGUGCCGGAGGGGAGAGUGGAAUUCCCGGUGUAGCGGUGAAAUGCGUAGAGAUCGGGAGGAAUACCGGUGGCGAAAGCGACUCUCUGGACGGCAACUGACGCUGAGGCACGAAAGCGUGGGGAGCAAACAGGAUUAGAUACCCUGGUAGUCC